AGAUGGAGUCUCACUCUGUCGCCCAGGCUGGAGUACAGUGGUGUGAUCCGGGCUGACUGCAAGCUCUGCCUCCCGAGUUCACACCAUUCUCCUGCCUCAGUCUCCCGAAUAGCUGGGACUACAGGCUCCCACCACCACACCCGGCUAAUUUUUUGUACGUUUUUUUUUUUUUAGUAGAGACAGAGUUUCACCGUGUUAGCCAGGAUGGUCUUGAUCUCCUGACAUUGUGAUCCACCCGCCUUGGUCUCACAAAGUGCUGGGAUUACAGGCGUGAGCCACCGCACCUGGCCAUGUUGAUUUGUUUUAAUGGUAGUUGCAAUACUUGUGAGAGUGACAUCCACCUGGAUGCUGACUUGAAUGGAAUUUCAUAACUGUUGGGUACUGACCAUGAGUUGGUGUGGGGACAUACAAAGUUGAACAAGACAUAGGCUUGCCUCAUAGUGUCUACAGCCUGGAAGAGGGAAGAAAGUGACAACACAAAUAGUUCUGCAUCUUAUGAAUUCAUGGGAAGAGGAGAGGUGUCAUAAGACAGCACUAUUCACAAUAGCCAAGAUUUGGAAGUAACCCAAAUGUCCAUCAACAGACAAAUGGAUAAAGAAAAUGUGGUGCAUAUACACAAUGGAGUAGUAUUCAGCCAUAAAAAAGAAUGAGAUCUUGUCAUCUGCAACAACAUGGAUGGAACUGGAGGUCCUUAAGGUUAAGCAAAAUAAUCCAGGCACAGAAAGAAAACAUUGCAUGUUCUCAUCUAUUUGUGAGAACUAAAAAUUAAAACAAUUGAACUCAUGGAGAUAGAGAGUAGAAGGAUGGUUACCAGAGGCUGGGAAGGGUAGUGAGGGCGAGUGAGGGGGAAGUGGGGUGUUUAAUGUGUCCAAAAAAUGGUCAGAAACAAUGAAUAAAGUCUAAUAUAUGACAGCAAAAGAGUGUGACUAUAGUCAAUAAUAAUCGAAUGGUACAUUUAAAAAUAACUAAAAGUGUAUAUUUGGAUUGUUUGUAACAUAAAGGAUAAAUGCUUGAGGUGAUGGAUACCCCAUUUACCCUGAUGUGAUUGUUACACAUUGUAUGCCUGUAUCAAAGUAUCCAUAUACCCCAUGAAUAAAUGUAUAUACCUACUAUGCACCUACAAAAAUUAAAAUAAUAAAAAAAAGGAUUCCCCAUAUUUGCU
rnacentral:lncRNA from 1 species